CCUACGGGUGGCAGCAGUGGGGAAUAUUGCGCAAUGGGCGAAAGCCUGACGCAGCGACGCCGCGUGAGGGAUGAAGGUCUUCGGAUCGUAAACCUCUGUCAGCAGGGAAGAACGGUCACUGUGCUAAUCAGCAGUGAAUUGACGGUACCUGCAAAGGAAGCACCGGCUAACUCCGUGCCAGCAGCCGCGGUAAUACGGAGGGUGCGAGCGUUAAUCGGAAUUACUGGGCGUAAAGCGCUCGUAGGCGGUAUGUCAAGUCAAGGGUGAAAUCCCCGCGCUCAACGUGGGAACUGCCUUUGAAACUGGCAGACUGGAGUGUGUGAGAGGAUAGUGGAAUUCCCGGUGUAGGAGUGAAAUCCGUAGAUAUCUGGAGGAACAUCAGUGGCGAAGGCGACUAUCUGACACAUAACUGACGCUGAGGAGCGAAAGCGUGGGUAGCAAACAGGAUUAGAUACCCUAGUAGUC
rnacentral:rRNA from 1 species